UACGUAGGGUGCGAGCGUUAAUCGGAAUUACUGGGCGUAAAGCGUGCGCAGGCGGUUUUGUAAGCCAGAUGUGAAAGCCCCGGGCUUAACCUGGGAAUGGCAUUUGGGACUGCAAGGCUGGAGUUUGGCAGAGGGGACUGGAAUUCCUGGUGUAGCAGUGAAAUGCGUAGAUAUCAGGAGGAAUACCGAUGGCGAAGGCAGGUCUCUGGGCUAUAACUGACGCUCAUGCACGAAAGCGUGGGGAGCAAACAGG
rnacentral:rRNA from 1 species